rnacentral:rRNA from 1 species
UGGGGAAUCUUGCACAAUGGGGGAAACCCUGAUGCAGCGACGCCGCGUGAACGAUGAAGCCCUUCGGGGUGUAAAGUUCUUUCGACAGGAACGAUAAUGACGGUACCUGGAGAAGAAGCUGCGGCUAACUACGUGCCAGCAGCCGCGGUAAUACGUAGGCAGCGAGCGUUGUUCGGAGUUACUGGGCGUAAAGAGUGCGUAGGCGGCGAGCCAAGUUUGGUGUGAAAUCUCCCGGCUUAACCGGGAGGGUGCGCCGAAAACUGGUUGGCUGGAGUAUGGGAGAGGAAAGCGGAAUUCCUGGUGUAGCGGUGAAAUGCGUAGAUAUCAGGAGGAACACCUGCGGUGUAGACAGCUUGCUGGACCAAAACUGACGCUGAGGCACGAAAGCGUGGGUAGCAAACA